GUCCACGCCGUAAACGAUGUCGACUAGCCGUUGGGCCCUUUUGGGGUUUAGUGGCGCAGCUAACGCAUUAAGUCGACCGCCUGGGGAGUACGGCCGCAAGGUUAAAACUCAAAUGAAUUGACGGGGCCCGCACAAGCGGUGGAGCAUGUGGUUUAAUUCGAUGCAACGCGAAGAACCUUACCUACCCUUGACAUCCUGCGAACUUUCUAGAGAUAGAUUGGUGCCUUCGGGAGCGCAGAGACAGGUGCUGCAUGGCUGUCGU
rnacentral:rRNA from 1 species